rnacentral:piRNA from 1 species
UGAAGCUAUGAUUAGGCAUUGUACACGAA